CUCCUCGCCAUCACGUUUCUCUUCUCUCCGCAGAUUGUGUGUUUGCAUAAAGCCGAACUAUCGCCGGAGAUUGGCCGGAACAGAGUGAAUCGGAAAUACAGAAGCGUCUCCUCUGGACAGGAAUGGGAUUCAUUUCCCUUCAGGAGAGAGUCACACCGAGGGAUCAGAGCGAGGACAUCUUUGCAUUAUCUUUGUCUGUAGGUGUCCCUUCGUUGUUACCAAACAAACACGUCAACUCCAUUGUCGACAGGAGUUCAGGGUAAAUAAAUCUGCAUUGGUUCAUGUUUGGAAAGAAGAAGAAGAAG
ensembl:lncRNA